UACGGGGGGAGCAAGCGUUGUUCGGAUUUACUGGGCGUAAAGGGCGCGUAGGCGGUCGUGACAAGUCACUUGUGAAAUCUCCGGGCUUAACUCGGAACGGUCAAUUGAUACUGAUGUGCUAGAGUGCAGAAGGGGCAAUCGGAAUUCUUGGUGUAGCGGUGAAAUGCGUAGAUAUCAAGAGGAACACCUGAGGUGAAGACGGGUUGCUGGGCUGACACUGACGCUGAGGCGCGAAAGCUAGGGUAGCAAACGGG
rnacentral:rRNA from 1 species